GAUGAACGCUGGCGGCGUGCUUAACACAUGCAAGUCGAACGGAAAGGCUCCUGCUUGCAGGGGUACUCGAGUGGCGAACGGGUGAGUAACACGUGGGUGAUCUGCCCUGCACUUCGGGAUAAGCCUGGGAAACUGGGUCUAAUACCGGAUAGGACCACAUUUUGGAUGGUGUGGUGGAAAGGUUUUCGGUGUGGGAUGAGCUCGCGGCCUAUCAGCUUGUUGGUGGGGUAAUGGCCUACCAAGGCGUCGACGGGUAGCCGGCCUGAGAGGGUGUACGGCCACAUUGGGACUGAGAUACGGCCCAGACUCCUACGGGAGGCAGCAGUGGGGAAUAUUGCACAAUGGGCGCAAGCCUGAUGCAGCGACGCCGCGUGGGGGAUGACGGCCUUCGGGUUGUAAACUCCUUUCGCUAGGGACGAAGCGUUUUUGUGACGGUACCUGGAGAAGAAGCACCGGCUAACUACGUG
rnacentral:rRNA from 1 species